AGUCUCUUAGCCUAAUUAAAAUUAGGAAAAAAAAAGAAAAAAAACUAAUUAAAGAAGAAACGGUUCUUCUGUCUCCUAAAUAGGAGACGUCUUUUGGAGCUUCUCCUUCUCCUCUUCUCUCUGCAACAACAACAAAGUUGUCUUCACAUUAUCUGAAAUCAAAGCCACAUAAACAAAGAUGUUUACAUACUCGACUAAAAGGAGGAACCCCUCGCGCUCUGGCUCUCUUCUUUCUUCUGGUUGAUUUAACAUCUGUCUUCCUUUUGUUUUUCUUAUCUGAUUUACCUUUUUAUUUUAGGUUUGGGUGUGUGUUUUGUCGAGAGUAUGUGCGACGAAAUCAUGAACACAUCUCUGAAACAAGGAUCGAAGAUCAAACCCAAAUUAGCCAAUCGUCGUAUUGCCACCAGUUUGUUAAGAGUUCACUUGAUUGUGGAUUAAUCUGCUCUGGAUUAAGUCAGGUGCCACUGGCUGUACAUUGCGUUGCAGAGUUAUCUGUUCCCUCAGUCAUAGUAGUUAUCCAGUGGAAGGAGAUCUUUAUAGAUGUAUACAUGAACCAAGAGCUGCAAAAACAAAGGGGCAGGGGAUAUGGGCUUAACUGGAUGGAAACUAGGACUGUCAUAAAGCCGCAUGAAGCUGUUUGCUGAAAAUAUCAAGAGCAUGAAUCCUUGACUUUAGCUUCAGGUCACGCUGCUACAAAGGAGAUGUUCCACUUUCUGAGACCACCCGAGUGUUCUAUCUUCAAGGAGAGGAAGGGGCAAGAACUUGAACUUCACAACAAAAUUCAUCACUUUCCUGGUAGUUAUUCAUCACUUUCAAAGUUCUCUAUAUAGGUGUUUAUUCAGCUUGGUCAUUUUAUAGACAAAAUCAUUCACUCAUCAAACAAAUCUUUUCUUCUCUC